UACGGUUGCAAAGCUGAAACUUAAAGGAAUUGACGGAAGGGCACCACCAGGAGUGGAGCCUGUGGCUUAAUUUGACUCAACACGGGAAACCUCACCCGGUCCGGACACUGGAAGGAUUGACAGACUAAAGCUCUUUCUUGAUUCAGUGGGUGGUGGUGCAUGGCCGUUCUUAGUUGGUGGAGUGAUUUGUCUGGUUAAUUCCGAUAACGAACGAGACUCUCGCCUGCUAAAUAGUUUUCCAUACGUUACUUUAUGGAACCUAAAACUUCUUAGAGGUACAAGUGGCGUUUAGCCACACRAAACARAGCAAUAACAGGUCUGUGAUGCCCUUAGAUGUCCGGGGCCGCACAUGUGCUACAAUGAAUGCAUCAACGUGUAUCASCCUCGCCCGAAAGGGUUGGGGAAUCCGCUGAACGGCAUUCUCAGUAGGGAUUGGGGAUUGCAAUUAUUUCCCAUGAACACGGAAUUCCCAGUAGGCGCCAGUCAUCAGCUGGCGUCGAUUGAGUCCCUGCCCUUUGUACACACCGCCCGUCGNNNNNNNNNNGGAAGUCGGUGGAGGCCGUCCGCUUGCAACUUCGAACCCUAUCUAUUGUCUAGGGGAAACAAUAAAAGGCUCCGGGAAGGGAAACCCGGGUUAAGAAAAACUCCCGUACAUAGAUAGAUACGUACUACUCUGUGCGGUGGAUCACUCGGCUCGUGUGUCGAUGAAGAGCGCAGCUSGCUGCGAGAAGUAAUGUGAAUUGCAGAACCACAUUGAAACAUCGACAUCUUGAACGCACAUGGCGGCCUCCGGGUUACUCCGGAGGCCACGUCUGUCUGAGAGUCGGAAUUGUAGUGCUUUAAAAAUCGGCGGUCACCACCAAAAUAUAUGUCGUAUACAAUAGACACGAUAGGUGGAUGUCCGCGAGGGUUGCUUCUCGGUAGAAAGAUACAUACAAAAAGUAAAAGAGAAGCCGCCGAGUGGCGAGUUGUUGAAAGUAGCCCAGCGAAACAACGGAACAAACCCUCGGAAUAAGAAAGAAAAAGACGUGCUGUACGAAAAAGUGCAACG
rnacentral:rRNA from 1 species